UGUGUUCCUGUUCCCAUCAACUCCCAUGCCAGUUGCCAAGAAACCUCUCCUGGGAGCUCAGCGUCAUCCUCAUCCACACCCAGGUGAAAUUGUUGGCCAUCUCCACGCAGUGUUACAGAUAUUGCUACCUCCUCACCCUUGGUGCUGUUGCAAAAACAUCCUCUGGCGAUUUACAAGUAACUAACACCUCUCUUGAACUUCCUGCCAGAUGAGAGAGUGACUAAUGUUUCAGUACUGUUCUCUAAUGGAAAUGGUAGUAGGCUCAAAGAAACACACAACAAUUGUUUUCUCACCAGACACACAGGCCUAAAAUUGUACCUUUAUGAAGAAGAUAAAGGAGACGCUAUUUAAACACCUCAGCUAUCUGCCAGAUCCAUUCAGGUGCGAGCAUAUAAACAUCACUUCGCAGACAGGGUGAACAGUCUCUGAGGACGCUGCGCAGGUAAGGGACCAGCCUCACGCCGCGAGCGUGCAGGGUGCAGCCGGGAUACA